GGGGGUGCUUGGAUUCGACUUGUGUGUUUUUGUAUCAGUGGCAUGCAGAGGUAGCCGGGAGGCCUCUUAAAACACCUGGCAAAUUCACAAAUGCCGACACUAACAAAGUGAUUCCUUUUAACGGAGUUGGAGCUACCAAUUUGGUGCCUUUCAGCCCUGUUCAGGGAUUGGCAUUGGCCAUGUAAUAAUGGCCUCGUCCUUACUGUUCAGCCUGCGGGGUGGAUAAGGGCGACGACUAGCAGGAUAGCUGAGGAUCCGUGCCCGCGGGAUCCAACGCGAAAUUAAACAGAGGGCUGGCCGGAAGUUCAUCCUGUCGAUGGGAGGUUCAUCCAGUGAGAUUAAAUUAUCGACUAUGCAUGUAGAAGCUUUUACUGCGGCACGUAAGGACGCGGGUUCGAUUCCCGCCACCUCCACCA
rnacentral:tmRNA from 1 species